rnacentral:rRNA from 1 species
CCUACGGGAGGCAGCAGUGAGGAAUAUUGGUCAAUGGACGCGAGUCUGAACCAGCCAAGUAGCGUGAAGGAUGACUGCCCUAUGGGUUGUAAACUUCUUUUAUAUGGGAAUAAAACGUUCCACGUGUGGGAUUUUGUAUGUACCAUAUGAAUAAGGAUCGGCUAACUCCGUGCCAGCAGCCGCGGUAAUACGGAGGAUCCGAGCGUUAUCCGGAUUUAUUGGGUUUAAAGGGAGCGUAGGUGGAUUGUUAAGUCAGUUGUGAAAGUUUGCGGCUCAACCGUAAAAUUGCAAGUGAAACUGGCAGUCUUGAGUACAGUAGAGGGGUGCGGAAUUCGUGGUGUAGCGGUGAAAUGCUUAGAUAUCACGAAGAACUCCGAUUGCGAAGGCAGUUCACUGGACUGCAACUGACACUGAGGCUCGAAAGUGUGGGUAUCAAACAGGAUUAGAUACCCCAGUAGUC